GAUGAACGCUAGCUACAGGCUUAACACAUGCAAGUCGAGGGGCAGCAUGGUCUUAGCUUGCUAAGGCCGAUGGCGACCGGCGCACGGGUGAGUAACACGUAUCCAACCUGCCGUCUACUCUUGGAUAGCCUUUCGAAAGAAAGAUUAAUACCCGAUAGCAUAAUGAUUCCGCAUGGUUUCAUUAUUAAAGGAUUCCGGUAAAGGAUGGGGAUGCGUUCCAUUAGGUUGUUGGUGAGGUAACGGCUCACCAAGCCUUCGAUGGAUAGGGGUUCUGAGAGGAAGGUCCCCCACAUUGGAACUGAGACACGGCCCAG
rnacentral:rRNA from 1 species